GAACAGGGCGUACAGUCAGUGGCGGCAGACGCGAAACUUUGUGAUCUACCCUUGGGCAGGUUGAAGUGCGGGUAAAACCGCAUGGAGGACCGAACCGGUAAACGUUGAAAAGUUUUCGGAUGACCUGAGGGUAGGGGUGAAAGGCCAAUCAAACUGAGAGAUAGCUCGUACUCCCCGAAAUGCCUUUAGGGGCAGCCCAACGUAGUGCCAUUGGGAGGUAGAGCUACCGAUUGGACUAGGGGGAGUCAAAUCCUACCAAAUCCAGACGAACUCCGAAUGCCCAUUGGCAACAAUUGGAGUGAGGGCCGGGGUGCUAAGGUCACGGUCCGAGAGGGGAAGAACCCAGACCGACAGCUAAGGCCCCAAAGCGCGCGCUGAGUUCAACUAAGGUGGUCCAGCUGCAGUGACAGCCAGGAUGUUUGCUCGGAAGCAGCAAUUCAUUCAAAGAGUGCGUAACAGCUCACUGGUCGAGCGGCAGGGCAUCGAUAAUAAGCGGGGAUAAGCGCGCCGCCGAAGCUUCGGGCCAGGCAGUUUACUGUCGUGGCGGUAGGGGAGCAUUCCGGUCGCGGCGAAGGUGAGGCGCGAGCCCAGCUGGAGCGUCCGGAAAAGCAAAUGUAGGCAUAAGUAACGACAAUGCGGGCGCGAAACCCGCACACCGAUAGACCAAGGUUUCCCAGUCAACGCUAAUCGGGCUGGGGUCAGUCGGGUCCUAAGGGGAAGGCGAAGGCCGAUCCCGAUGGCAAGCCGGUCAACAUUCCGGCACCGCCAAUAUGGGCGACGGGGCGACGGGGCAGUGGAAGGCGUGCGCGCAGACGGAAUUGCGCGUUGAAGGGCGUAGGUAUAGGUGCCAUAGGGAAAUCCGUGGCGCUUGCCGAGACCCGAUAGUACCCCAAGCCCACGGGCGAGGGGAUAACCGCCCUAAAUGCCCCCAAGAAAAACCUCUAAGCUUAACCAUGUUGGCGCCCGUACCGCAAACCGACACAGGUGGUCAAGGAGAGGAUCCUGAGGUGCUCGAGUGAAUCACGGCCAAGGAACUCGGCAAACUAGCCCUGUAACUUCGGGAGAAGGGGCCCCCCGUUUCGGCGGGGGCGCAGAGAAAUGGCCCAGGCGACUGUUUAACAAAAACACAUGGCUACGCGAAACCGCAAGGUGAAGUAUGUGGCCUGACACCUGCCCGGUGCUGGAAGGUUAAGGGGGGGCGUCAUCGCGAGAGAAGCGCUGAACUGAAGCCCCAGUAAACGGCGGCCGUAACUAUAACGGUCCUAAGGUAGCGAAAUUCCUUGUCGGGUAAGUUCCGACCUGCACGAAUGGUGUAACGAUCUGGGCGCUGUCUCGGCCGUGAGCUCGGUGAAAUUGAAGUAGCGGUGAAGAUGCCGCUUACCCGCAACGGGACGGAAAGACCCCGUGCACCUUUACUACA
rnacentral:rRNA from 1 species